rnacentral:rRNA from 1 species
UACGUAGGGUGCAAGCGUUAAUCGGAAUUACUGGGCGUAAAGCGUGCGCAGGCGGUUUUGUAAGUCUGUCGUGAAAGCCCCGGGCUCAACCUGGGAAUUGCGAUGGAGACUGCAAGGCUUGAAUCUGGCAGAGGGGGGUAGAAUUCCACGUGUAGCAGUGAAAUGCGUAGAGAUGUGGAGGAACACCGAUGGCGAAGGCAGCCCCCUGGGUCAAGAUUGACGCUCAUGCACGAAAGCGUGGGGAGCAAACAGC